rnacentral:rRNA from 1 species
ACAUUCUCAACUGUUUUAGAAGAGAAGCAUUUAUUAGAUAAAAAACCAAUAUAUGUUUUUGAAACAUAAAAUUUGGUGAUUUACAAUAACUAAGCAAAUCGCACAGUGAAAACUGGCGAUAAAUCAUUCAAGUUUCUGACCUAUCAGCUUUCGACGGUAAGGUAUUGGCUUACCGUGGCAGUGACGGUUAACGGGGAAUUAGGGUUCAAUUCCGGAGAGGGAGCCUGAGAAACGGCUACCACAUCUAAGGAAGGCAGCAGGCGCGCAAAUUACCCAAUUCUAACAGCAUAAGAGAGGUAGUGACAAGAAAUAACAGUACAAGGCAGUUAAAAUGCUUUGUAAUUGGAAUGAUAGAAAUUUAAAUACUUUUUAAAGUAUCAAUUGGAGGGCAAGUCUGGUGCCAGCAGCCGCGGUAAUUCCAGCUCCAAUAGCGUAUAUUAAAAUUGUUGCAGUUAAAAAGCUCGUAGUUGAAUUUUUGCUAAAAAUAACCGGUCUGCUUUUAUUAAUAAAAGUGGUAUCUUGGUGUGUUUUUAGCAAUAAUGUCCUUUGAAAUGUUUU